ensembl:lncRNA
UGUGGUUGUAGUGGGAACUGCUGUGGUUGUAGUGGGAGCCGCAGUGGUUGUAGUGGGAGGCGCUGUGGUUGUAUUAGGAGCAGCUGUGCUUGUAGUGGGAGACGCAGUGGUUGUAGUGGGAGCUGCUGUGGUUGUAGUGGGAGCCGCUGUGGUUGUAGUGGGAGCCGCUGUGGAUGUAGUGGGAGCCACAGUGGUUGUAGUGGGAGCCGCUGUGGUUGAAGUGGGAGCGGCUGUGGUUGUAGUGGGAGCCACAGUGGUUGUAGUGGGAGCCGCUGUGGUUGAAGUGGGAGCGGCUGUGGUUGUAGUGGGAGCCGCAGUGGUUGUAGUGGGAGCGGCUGUGGUUGUAGUGGGAGCCGCUGUGGUUGUAGUGGGAGCAGCUGUGGUUGUAGUGGUAGCCGCUGUGGUUGUAGUGGUGUCCGUGGUGGUUGUAGUGGGAGCCGCUGUGGUUGUAGUGGGAGCCGCUGUGGUUGUAGUGGGAGCCGCGGUGGUUGUAGUGGGAGCAGCUGUGGUUGUAGUGGGAGCCGCUGUGGUUGUAGUGGGAGCCGCUGUGGUUGUUGUGGGAGCCGCUGUGGUUGUAGUGGGAGCCGCUGUGGUUGUAGUGGGAGCCGCUGUGGUUGUAGUGGGAGCCGCUGUUGUUGUAGUGGGAGCCGCUGUGGUUGUAGUGGGAGCCGCUGUGGUUGUAGUGGGAGCCACAGUGGUUGUAGUGGGAGCCGCUGUGGUUGAAGUGGGAGCGGCUGUGGUUGUAGUGGGAGCCGCUGUGGUUGUAGUGGGAGCGGCUGUGGUUGUAGUGGGAGCCGCUGUGGUUGUAGUGGGAGCAGCUGUGGUUGUAGUGGUAGCCGCUGUGGUUGUAGUGGGAGCCGCAGUGGUUGUAGUGGGAGCCGCUGUGGUUGUUGUGGGAGCCGCUGUGGUUGUAGUGGGAGCCGCUGUGGUUGUAGUGGGAGCCGCUGUGGUUGUAGUGGGAGCCGCUGUUGUUGUAGAGGGAGCCGCUGUGGUUGUAGUGGGAGCCUCAGUGGUUGUAGUGGGAGCCGCAGUGGUUGUAGUGGGAGCCGCUGUGGUUGUAGUGGGAGCGGCUGUGGU